rnacentral:rRNA from 1 species
UACGUAGGGUGCAAGCGUUGUCCGGAAUUAUUGGGCGUAAAGAGCUCGUAGGCGGUCUGUCGCGUCGGCUGUGAAAUCCCGAGGCUCAACCUCGGGUCUGCAGUCGAUACGGGCAAACUAGAGUAUUGCAGGGGAGACUGGAAUUCCUGGUGUAGCGGUGAAAUGCGCAGAGUAUCAGGAGGAACACCGGUGGCGAAGGCGGGUCUCUGGGCAAUAACUGACGCUGAGGAGCGAAAGCGUGGGAGCGAACAGG